UACGUAGGGGGCGAGCGUUGUCCGGAAUUACUGGGCGUAAAGAGCGCGUAGGCGGCCUGCUAAGUCAGGUGUGAAAACUUAAGGCUCAACCUUAAGAUGGCACUGGAAACUGACAGGCUUGAGGUCAGGAGAGGAAAGCGGAAUUCCUAGUGUAGCAGUGAAAUGCGUAGAUAUUAGGAGGAACACCAGUGGCGAAGGCGGCUUUCUGGACUGAUUCUGACGCUGAGGUGCGAAAGCCAGGGGAGCAAAC
rnacentral:rRNA from 1 species